GACUGGGUCCCUGGCGGCGAAAGCCGUCGAAUCGUGUCAGGGCCGGAAGGCAGCAGCACUAAGGCGUUUCUUUCGGGCGCCCAGGAUCACCUGGUGGUC
rnacentral:SRP_RNA from 1 species